rnacentral:rRNA from 1 species
UACGGGGGGGGCAAGCGUUGUUCGGAAUUACUGGGCGUAAAGGGCUCGUAGGUGGCCAACUAAGUCAGACGUGAAAUCCCUCGGCUUAACCGGGGAACUGCGUCUGAUACUGGAUGGCUUGAGUUUGGGAGAGGAGAGUGGAAUUCCUGGUGUAGCGGUGAAAUGCGCAGAUAUCAGGAAGAACACCCGUGGCGAAAGCGGCUCUCUGGAACGGUACUGACGCUGAGAUGCGAAAGCGUGGGGAGCGAACAGG